GCACCGGUGGCGUAGUGGUAGACGCGACGGUCUCCUAAUCAGUAGCAGUGUGCUGCGCGGGUUGAAAUCCCGUCCCAAGAG